rnacentral:rRNA from 1 species
CCUACGGGGGGCAGCAGUGAGGAAUAUUGGUCAAUGGCCGCAGGGCUGAACCAGCCAAGUCGCGUGAGGGAUGACGGUCCUAUGGAUUGUAAACCUCUUUUGUCAGGGAGCAAAGGGCGCCACGUGUGGCGCUUUGCGAGUACCUGAAGAAAAAGCAUCGGCUAACUCCGUGCCAGCAGCCGCGGUAAUACGGAGGAUGCGAGCGGUAUCCGGAUUUAUUGGGUUUAAAGGGUGCGCAGGCGGAAUGCCAAGUCAGCGGUAAAAUUUCGGGGCUCAAACCCGUCGAGCCGUUGAAACUGGGGUUCUUGAGUGAGCGAGAAGUAUGCGGAAUGCGUGGUGUAGCGGUGAAAUGCAUAGAUAUCACGCAGAACUCCGAUUGCGAAGGCAGCAUACCGGCGCUCAACUGACGCUCAUGCACGAAAGCGUGGGUAUCGAACAGGAUUAGAUACCCGGGUAGUC